UACGUAGGUGGCAAGCGUUGUCCGGAAUUAUUGGGCGUAAAGCGCGCGCAGGCGGUCCUUUAAGUCUGAUGUGAAAGCCCACGGCUCAACCGUGGAGGGUCAUUGGAAACUGGGGGACUUGAGUACAGAAGAGGAAAGCGGAAUUCCACGUGUAGCGGUGAAAUGCGUAGAGAUGUGGAGGAACACCAGUGGCGAAGGCGACUUACUGGACACAUAUUGACGCUGAGGUGCGAAAGCGUGGGGAGCAAACAGG
rnacentral:rRNA from 1 species